UGCCUCAGUAACGGCGAGUGAAGCGGUAAUAGCUCAAAUUUGAAAUCUGGUUCCUUGGGGAGCCCGAGUUGUAAUUUGCAGAAGACGCUUCGGGCAUGGCACCGGUCUAAGUUCCUUGGAACAGGACGUCGUAGAGGGUGAGAGCCCCGUAUGUGACUGGCUGCCUCGCCCGUGUGAAGCUCUUUCGACGAGUCGAGUUGUUUGGGAAUGCAGCUCAAAAUGGGUGGUAAAUUUCAUCUAAAGCUAAAUACUGGCCAGAGACCGAUAGCGCACAAGUAGAGUGAUCGAAAGAUGAAAAGCACUUUGGAAAGAGAGUUAAACAGUACGUGAAAUUGUUGAAAGGGAAGCGUUUGCAACGAGACUUGUGCGCGACCGAUCAUCAGGGGCUCGUCUCCCGUGCACUCGGCCGCGCUCAGGCCAGCAUCGGUUUGGGCGGUUGGAUAAAGGUCCCGGGAACGUGGCUCUUACCAGAGCGUUAUAGCCCGGGGCGUCAUGCAGCCCGUCCGGACCGAGGACCGCGCUUCGGCUAGGAUGCUGGCGUAAUCGUUGUAAACGACCCGUCUUGAAACACGGACCAAGGAGUCAACCGUUUGUGCGAGUAUUAGGGCGUUAAACCCUUGUGCGUAAUGAAAGUGAACGUAGGUGAGAGCCUUUGGGUGCAUCAUCGACCGGACUUGAUAUAUUUGGAAGGUUCUGAGUAAGAGCAUAGCUGGUUGGACCCGAAAGAUGGUGAUCUUUGCUUGAAUAGGGUGAAGCCAGAGGAAACUCUGGUGGAGGCUCGCAGCGGUUCUGACGUGCAAAUCGAUCGUCAAAUUUGGCAAAGG
rnacentral:rRNA from 1 species